rnacentral:rRNA from 1 species
AGAUAAAUACUUUCUUUAAUUUAAAAAUUAAAUUUAUUAUUUUUUGUGCAGAAACAAAAAUAAAAAUUAAGGACAAGAAGACCCUAAGAAUUUUAAUUUGAUUUAAAUAAUUUAUAUUUCUUAAUCAAAUUUAAUUGGGGCGAUUGAAAAAUAUUUUUAACUUUUUUUUAAAAAAAAUAUGAACCAUUAAUAAUGGUAAUAUGAAAAAAUACUCUAGGGAUAACAGCGUAAUAAUUUUUGAUAGUUCAUAUAGACAAAAUAGUUUGCGACC